rnacentral:rRNA from 1 species
GACGAACGCUGGCGGCGUGCCUAACACAUGCAAGUCGAACGGUAAGGCCCUUCGGGGGUACACGAGUGGCGAACGGGUGAGUAACACGUGGGUGAUCUGCCCUGCACUUCGGGAUAAGCCUGGGAAACUGGGUCUAAUACCGGAUAGGACCACUGCCUGCAUGGGUGGGGGUGGAAAGCUUUUGCGGUGUGGGAUGGGCCCGCGGCCUAUCAGCUUGUUGGUGGGGUGAUGGCCUACCAAGGCAACGACGGGUAGCCGGCCUGAGAGGGUGACCGGCCACACUGGGACUGAGAUACGGCCCAGACUCCUACGGGAGGCAGCAGUGGGGAAUAUUGCACAAUGGGCGCAAGCCUGAUGCAGCGACGCCGCGUGAGGGAUGACGGCCUUCGGGUUGUAAACCUCUUUCAGCACCGACGAAGCGCAAGUGACGGUAGGUGCAGAAGAAGGACCGGCCAACUACGUGCCAGCCGCCGCGGUAA